UACGGAGGGAGCUAGCGUUGUUCGGAAUUACUGGGCGUAAAGCGCACGUAGGCGGCUUUGUAAGUUAGAGGUGAAAGCCCGGGGCUCAACUCCGGAACUGCCUUUAAAACUGCAUCGCUUGAAUCCGGGAGAGGUGAGUGGAAUUCCGAGUGUAGAGGUGAAAUUCGUAGAUAUUCGGAAGAACACCAGUGGCGAAGGCGGCUCACUGGACCGGUAUUGACGCUGAGGUGCGAAAGCGUGGGGAGCAAACAGG
rnacentral:rRNA from 1 species